CGGACGGGUGAGUAACGCGUGGGGAACCUGCCCUGUACCGGGGGAUAGCAGCCGGAAACGGCUGAUAAUACCGCAUAAGCGCACGAAUGUGCAUGACAUGGUGUGAAAAACUCCGGUGGUAUAGGAUGGACCCGCGUCUGAUUAGCCUGUUGGUGGGGUAAAAGCCUACCAAAGCGAAGAUCAGUAGCCGAGUUGAGAGACUGACCGGCCACAUUGGGACUGAGACACGGCCCAGACUCCUACGGGAGGCAGCAGCG
rnacentral:rRNA from 1 species